AUCACGUGAUCUCCUUACCCUAUAAAUAAAAAUCUGCUCCUUGAACUGACGAUAAUGCUUCUCAUCUGAAUUGGCUUGAAAUAAUUUUUGGGCGAAUUGGGCAUAUCAAAUGUGUCUUUUAUCUGAUAUAGGAUAAAGAUCGUGUUCGAUUAUCGUUGUUGAAGACGUAAUGACUCACCAACCCUAUUAUCGAAUCGGACCUCGAGACCGGGAUCGCCGAAAUCGUGACUGUACGAUCGACCCGAGCCUUACGAGGCGCAGCAGGCGCGAAACCUCCGCAAUACACGAAAGUGUGACGGGGUUACCCAAAGUGUUCAAUAGAACUGUGGUAGGUGAGUAAUGUUCCCUACUAGAAAGGAGAGGGCAAGGCUGGUGCCAGCCGCCGCGGUAAAACCAGCUCUUCAAGUGGUCGGGAUAAUUAUUGGGCUUAAAGUGUCCGUAGCCGGUUUAGUAAGUUCCUGGUAAAAUCGGGUAGCUUAACUAUCUAUAUGCUAGGAAUACUACUAUACUAGAGGGCGGGAGAGGUCUGAGGUACUACAGGGGUA
rnacentral:rRNA from 1 species